CACAACACAAAUAACCAUAGUCUUCUAACUGGAUGUUUUUGCGCAUGUCUAGUUUUACACUGUUGACAUAGCUCCGCCGCAAUGCACCGUUUACACACACCUGCUGUUAUUACCAGUCUAGUGCAAACAAAAGCGACACCCAACGGAAAGUAUUGAGAGGCUGGCUGCGUUAGCUCCCCUUGGCUCCGGACAGAUUGAUGACGUAACCGAUCUCUCUCUGGUUGCCAGCGACAGCGGAAUCUGCGCGAAGAGAGGCGGAGGGGGUUGGGGGUUGGUGGAAUACCCCGGCAAUAAUAAAGUGCCACCCAUGUGUUUGUAUUGAGUCUAAACAUGUCGCAGAAACUCUUGAUUGUUGAUGCCACGUUUCUGUCGAGCCAGCGAUACUUAUUUGCUCAAGUGGGAGGAGAAGAUGAUUCGAGUGGCGAAAUGCGAUGGGUGUGAGCAGAGAGAGUCAGGGUGAGCUGCGACACUACAAGGACAACGACAACAACACUAGAGAAGAAAUUGUAUGGGAUCAGAGAUAAGAGGCAGAUGAUGGUAUCUUUCAUUACCACUGCUGGCAUCGAGAUGUUUUAAAUCAGCGAACGAAAAGAAGAAGAACUGAAUAGUAUUCAUAAAAGUAUACAACUGUGUUUUUCUUCAAGAGUUUUCGAUUUUCUAUGCUGGAUGUUGACAGAGUAACAGAAAUCAUAUUUUUUAAAAUUCGCACAAAACGCUUUAAGCUAAAUAUUUGAACUUCGUACAAUUGGGAAUUAAGCAAGG